rnacentral:rRNA from 1 species
UAUUGUGUACAUGCCUACAUUGUUAAUGCAUUGGAUCCCAUUAUAAAUCUAUAGUAAGUGUGUUUGGGAUAAAGUAGUAUUGGGAUGGGUGGCCACCCAAGAAUUCCUAGUGUUUUACAUGCC